GGGGCGCUGGACGCAGACCACGUUAGAACCUCGGCUCCAGGAGUAGCAGAACCUCGGCUUCAAUGGGACCCUCAUUUCAUAAAUGAAGAAACUGAGAUUCAAAGAGGGGAACUACCGAAGGUCACAGAGCGAGUUCGUGGGUAAACAUGAUGGGGAAACUGAGCCUCACAUGUAUGAAUUCCAGCAUAUAAGCAACAGACUCCGGAUUUGGACAUGUAUAUCUUGUUCCAGACUUCCCAGAUGACCACCAAGGUGGAAGGGAUGAUGAUGUCCAGGCAGAAGGGAGCUAGGCCGGCCCAAGCUUUUCCUCUAGGCACAGCGGACUCCAGGUUCAGCCUUCCCGGAUGAUAGUGUUGCAUUCUGAAGAGCUACUUUCCCGCCAACUCAUCUCUGGACUUCUCUGGGGCCCAACUCUGGUUUCCUGCCUGCAGGAGGUCCCCUCUGACUUCCGACAGUAGAUGACCCUUCUGACUCACAGUUCUACUGCUGGGAAAUGCCUCCAGAGCUGCUGCCCACCCCCUCUGCAUCCCUCCAGGUCACUGGGUGUCGAGUCAGGGGAAGCAGGGAUGCACAUGGGCGGGAAACUCAGGCCUCCUAAAUGUCAGAGCCUCAGGACUUCGGCUACUCAGAAGUAGCUCCCUCCUGGGCCACCAGGGAGCAGCAGGGCAGCCAGCAUCCAGACAUCCCCCCUGGGCUCUGCUGCUCAGAGGCUAGAUGGAGAACCAAGAGGUGCAGAGUGGUUGGUGACUUCUCCUGGGCCAUGAGGACAGUCAGUUAAAGUCCUGGCUACCUCUCCCUGAGCCCACAUAUCCUAUGGCUUCACGGAAGGUCCCACCUCCCAAGAAGGGGCUAGUGGCAGGGAAGUUGAGAAACAGAGAGACGGAAAGGUGGCAUAAAACCAAAGAGGGGGACACUGGAGAGGAGCCGGCAAGAGGCCAGGCUGGGGACGUCAGAGAAGAGGAAAACAGAGAUGAAGCCACAGGCCUGGGGACAAGGGAAGAUGAGAGACAGGAGAUGGAACCCCUUCCCAGACCUGGUGAUGAGGAGGAGGCUCUGAGCAGUCCUAGCCAGGCCCCAGAGAAGCCAUUCCCUUCCUUUGACAGAUGCCACCUGUGUACGCCCCUGCCCGCAAUGAAGUUAACAAAUCACCACCACCACCCUGCCCUGGCCUGGUUGCUGUUGACAUUCAGUCUCCAGGAUGCAUCAUUUUCUUGGAUUUUAAUAGACAAUUGCCUCAGCCAGACCCUGCAGAGCAAAUUGCCAGCAAAUGUUCAUUGAACACUUUAAAAAUCGAGGGGAAGAAGAGAGGGCUUGGAGGCAGCAUGUGGGGAGAGGUCAACCUCUAAAGUGCCAGCUCUCCAGAAAUGCAGCCGGACUGAAGGUUUGAAGGGAUGGUAGUGAAUGGAGCACUCCAGGCAGUGUGUGUGCUGAAUCUCAGGGCGGUUUUAGCACUUCAGAGGCCUUUUUGACCAAGAUAUUCACGUUGGCCUGAGGUGAAACAACUCUUAAAAAGCUUUAUUUGAGGAGCCUGGCAGUCCUAUAAGGGGAAACCCACCUAUUACUUCAAGCGAAGCUGACGCAGAGAGAUGAGCCAAUUGAGCAGGAGACAAUGUAAGCAGCUGUGGGGGUGUGGAGUACUCCCUCCUGCCUGUGGGAGCUGCACCGUGGAGUCUAGCUUGUCACCCUCCGGAGGCAGAGCCCCUCCUCCCUGCCUCCUCUUGGUCUAGAUGGACAGCCAUGGCAGCGGAGGCUGCAGAGCUGAGCAGGUGAUACUGGGCAGCGACCCUGCUGCGGGGAGGGUCCACACCCCACAGCUCUUUACUGCAUUUAUUUAACAAGCGACAUUGAGCCAGCAAUCUCUGCUGAAAAGUGCUCAGCCCUGGAGAGAGAACUGUGAACAACGUGGACACAGCUCCUGCUUUGUGGAGCUUGGUGUCUG